AAUCUUAAAUCUCUGCAAGUGGAUCUGAAAAACUUUGAGCAGCUGGACCUUCAUGCUUUAAAGGUUAAUGCCAAUGGGACACUUGAAGAAUUAGUGAAAGAACUUAUCCUUGAUGCUAACACAGAGCUGGAGAAAACCAGAGUUUUCUGGAUAUGGAUCUGUCAUCAUAUUGAGUAUGACACAGCAGGAUUAAAGAAUAAAGUUCUGAUAUUGCCUGACCCAGACCUUGUCCUACAAACCAGGAAAGGGAC